AAGUGCCACUCGUAAUGGUCGGUACUUACCGGCAUUUAGCCGUUUUGUUAGACGACAACGAUAAUGUUGCUUUGAUUUUCGUUAGCAGUUUAGCCAUGUUUCCAGAGUAUUUUUUCUAGAAAAUUGUUCGUUUUUUUUUUGUACUGAAAAGGUUCAAAUACAUGUACUAUAAUUUGUCAAUCGUAACAUAACGAACUGGACAUAACACCAUGCAACAUGAUGUAAUAAAGAUCAUCUUGAAACAGUUA